rnacentral:misc_RNA from 1 species
AAGGAGCACCGAUUCGAUUCCCCCGCCGUCCGCGUAGUCGUGGGCAGUAGUGCGGUUGGGAUAUUUCAGCCAGGACCUGUAGUGGGUGUCUGGUGGGUGCAAAUGACAAACGUUGAGCCGGCGCGGGAAAGCGUUGGUGAUGGAACUGCUGAACACACUAUUGGGCUUUGAGACAACAGGCCCGUGCCCCUUUCGGGGGGUGGCAUUCCGUUGGGAGUGUCGGCGUGUUGUUGCUCCGCUUUGGUGGUGGGGUGUGGUGUUUGAUUUGUGGAUAGUGGUUGCGAGCAUCUAGCACGCAGUGUGGCUGGGGGCCUUCGGGUUUCCGGUCUUGUUGUGUGUUGAUGUGCAAUUUCUUUUGAAACUCAUUUUUGGUUUUUGUGUUGUAAGUGUUUAAGGGCGCAU